rnacentral:rRNA from 1 species
GCUUAAAGGGGCCGUAGCUUGAUAAUAGGGUCCCUUGAGAAAUCCGCCGGCUUAACUGGCGGGCGUUCAGGGGAAACUUGUUUUCUAGGGACCGGGAGAGGUGAGGGGUACUGCCGGGGUAGGAGUGAAAUCCUGUAAUCCCGGUGGGACCACCUAUGGCGAAGGCAUCUCACCAGAACGGGUCCGACAGUGAGGGACGAAAGCUGGGGGAGCAAACCGGAUUAGAUACCCGGGUAGUCCCAGCUGUAAACUAUGUGCGUUAGGUGUGUCAGUGACCACGUGUCACUGAGGUGCCGAAGGGAAACCGUGAAACGCACCGCCUGGGGAGUACGGUCGCAAGGCUGAAACUUAAAGGAAUUGGCGGGGGAGCACCACAACGGGUGGAGCCUGCGGUUUAAUCGGACUCAACGCCGGGAAUCUCACCGGAUAAGACAGCUGAAUGAUAGUCGGGAUGAAGACUCUACUUGACUAGCUGAGAGGAGGUGCAUGGCCGUCGUCAGUUCGUACUGUGAAGCAUCCUGUUUAGUCAGGCAACGAGCGAGACCCACGCGAGCAGUUGCCAGCUUGACCUUCGGGUUGAUGGGGACACUGCUCGGACCGCCUCUGCUAAAGGGGAGGAAGGACUGGGCAACGGUAGGUCAGCAUGCCCCGAAUUAUCCGGGCUACACGCGGGCUACAAUGGACAGGACAAUGAGUUUCGACACCGAGAGGUGAGGAUAAUCUUCUAACCCUGUCCCAAGUUCGGAUUGCGGGUUGUAACUCACCCGCAUGAAGCUGGAAUCCGUAGUAAUCGCGUUUCAACAUACCGCGGUGAAUAUGUCCCUGCUCCUUGCACACACCGCCCGUA